rnacentral:rRNA from 1 species
ACGCUCGACACCUACGGGAGGCAGCAGUGGGGAAUAUUGCACAAUGGGGGAAACCCUGAUGCAGCGACGCCGCGUGAGUGAAGAAGUAAUUCGUUAUGUAAAGCUCUAUCAGCAGGGAAGAAAGUGACGGUACCUGAGUAAGAAGCCCCGGNUAACUACGUGCCACAGCCGCGGUAAUCUGAGCGGGCUGGCAAGGC